UUUUAUUUGAGAGUUUGAUCCUGGCUCAGGAUGAACGCUGGCGGCGUGCCUAACACAUGCAAGUUGAGCGAUUUACUUCGGUAAAGAGCGGCGGACGGGUGAGUAACGCGUGGGUAACCUACCCUGUACACACGGAUAACAUACCGAAAGGUAUGCUAAUACGGGAUAAUAUAUUUGAGAGGCAUCUCUUAGAUAUCAAAGGUGAGCCAGUACAGGAUGGACCCGCGUCUGAUUAGCUAGUUGGUAAGGUAACGGCUUACCAAGGCGACGAUCAGUAGCCGACCUGAGAGGGUGAUCGGCCACAUUGGAACUGAGACACGGUCCAAACUCCUACGGGAGGCAGCAGUGGGGAAUAUUGCACAAUGGGCGAAAGCCUGAUGCAGCAACGCCGCGUGAGUGAUGAAGGCCUUCGGGUCGUAAAACUCUGUCCUCAAGGAAGAUAAUGACGGUCCUUGAGGAGGAAGCCCCGGCUAACUACGUGCCAGCAGCCGCGGUAAUACGUAGGGGGCUAGCGUUAUCCGGAUUUACUGGGCGUAAAGGG
rnacentral:rRNA from 1 species